AUACCUUUCUCGGCCUUUUGGCUAAGAUCAAGUGUAGUAUCUGUUCUUAUCAGUUUAAUAUCUGAUACGUGGACCAAUGGUUCACACGAUAUUAAAUUAAUUUUUCAAGGGGGAGGGCCCGUGACAGUAGCUUGCUAUUGGGGUUCUCAAGCGUCGCCUUUGUGUUGCACUAUUGCAUUGGCCUGGCGCACCCCUC
rfam:Populus trichocarpa scaffold_9_contig_125, whole genome shotgun sequence.